rnacentral:lncRNA from 1 species
GAAAUGUUAAAUUAUUUCUACCUAAGGGGAUGACACUCUACAUUUGAAAGAGGACAGACACACCGACACUGCGCGGGGGGAAGGAGACUGCCAUAACAGAGGAUCAGAAAAAUAAUGAAUCACAAAGUGCAAUAAUGUUAUUUAUGAAUGUAUAUGUAUAUGUAUAUGUAUAUAUGAUGAUUAUGCUGACAAAACAAUCACAAAGGAUACAAUCGUCAUUGAUCUGAAUCAUCAAUAUAACACUCAACCAAUCUC